rnacentral:rRNA from 1 species
UGGGGUGCAGUUCACAGGCCAAAAUGGUAGUGGGCACUCUGGUGCUUAAGAUAUGGUCGAGUCCCAAUUGAAAAAUUGGGUACAAGUACUCUGAUUGAUUACAUACACUCUAUGCUCAGUCAAAUACAGCUAGUUGUAAAUGCAAAUGUUCCGUAGGUGAACCUGC